GGGGGUGUAGCUCAGCUGGUUAGAGCGCCGGCCUGUCACGCCGGAGGUCGCGGGUUCGAGUCCCGUCACUCCCGCCA
rnacentral:tRNA from 1 species